rnacentral:rRNA from 1 species
AGUGAACGCUGGCGGUAGGCCUAACACAUGCAAGUCGAACGGCAGCACAGUAAGAGCUUGCUCUUACGGGUGGCGAGUGGCGGACGGGUGAGGAAUACAUCGGAAUCUACUUUUUCGUGGGGGAUAACGUAGGGAAACUUACUCUAAUACCGCAUACGACCUACGGGUGAAAGCAGUGGAUCUUCGGACCUUGCGCGAUUGAAUGAGCCGAUGUCGGAUUAGCUAGUUGGCGGGGUAAAGGCCCACCAAGGCGACGAUCCGUAGCUGGUCUGAGAGGAUGAUCAGCCACACUGGAACUGAGACACGGUCCAGACUACUACGGGAGGCAGCAGUGGGGAAUAUUGGACAAUGGGGGCAAGCCUGAUCCAGCCAUACCGCGUGGGUGAAGAAGGCCUUCGGGUUGUAAAGCCCUUUUGUUGGGAAAGAAAAGCAGCAGGUUAAUACCCCGCUGUUCUGACGGUACCCAAAGAAUAAGCACCGGCUAACUUCGUG